UACGGAGGGUGCAAGCGUUAAUCGGAAUUACUGGGCGUAAAGAGCUCGUAGGUGGUUUGUCGCGUUGUUCGUGAAAUCUCACGGCUUAACUGUGAGCGUGCGGGCGAUACGGGCAGACUAGAGUACUGCAGGGGAGACUGGAAUUCCUGGUGUAGCGGUGGAAUGCGCAGAUAUCAGGAGGAACACCGGUGGCGAAGGCGGGUCUCUGGGCAGUAACUGACGCUGAGGAGCGAAAGCGUGGGGAGCGAACAGG
rnacentral:rRNA from 1 species